rnacentral:lncRNA from 1 species
CCAUUCAUGCCACCAAUCAGGUGAUGAAAUGUACAACCCGUACUCUAAAUUGGCAACUAGCCAUUCAUGCCACCAACCAGGUGAUGAGAUGUACAACCCGUAGUCUAAUUUGGCAACUAGCCAUUCAUGCCACCAAUCAGGUGAUGAAAUGUACAACUCGUACUCUAAAUUGGCAACUAGUCAUUCAUGCCACCAACCAGGCAAUGAAAUGUACAACCCGUACUCUCCUUCAUGCCACCAACCAGGUGAUCAAAAGUACGCCCAGUACUUCAAAUUAUACAUGAGCAUUACUCAUGUCAUUCAUACAUAAACAUUCAUGAGCAUCACUCAUGACAAUCAUACAUAAACAUUCAUGACCAUCAUUCAUGUCAACAUUCAUGAGCAUCACUCAUGUUAACAUUCAUGAGCAUCACUCAUGACAAUAUCCAUGAGCAUCACUCAUGUCAAUCAACAUAAACAUUCAUGAGCAUCACUCAUGUUAAUCAGCUUCAAAAGCUUCAUUUACAGAGUUCUAGCUUCAAAAACUUCAUUUACAAAAGCUCCAGCUUCGAAAGCUUCAUUUACAGAGCUCUAGCUUCAAAGCUUCACCUGCAAAGCUUCACCUACAAAGCUUCAGUGCAAGGUAUACAAAUA